rnacentral:rRNA from 1 species
AUGAGUAUAAUUACCCCAAAAAGAAAGGUAUUAAGGAUGAGUGUUCAAGAUUGCUGGAGGCCUCCACUAUGAAAUCGCGUAGAGGCUUUGCUAUUCAGCGUUUGAUGAAUGCAAUGCGACAGGCUCAUGCUGAUGGUUGGUUUAUCGUUUUUGACACUCUCACGUUGGCUGACGACCGAUUAGAGGCGUUUUAUGAUAAUCCCAAUGCUUUGCGU